rnacentral:ribozyme from 1 species
AAGGCUAAAUAAAGAAAAUAUGAAAAAGAAAAAUAUGGUUGUUGGUCCAUGGCGGGCACUUGUCCUCUCUUUCUAUUGUUGUUUCUUCCU